GACGAACGCUGGCGGCGUGCCUAAUACAUGCAAGUAGAACGCUGAAGGGGGAGCUUGCUUCUCCGGAUGAGUUGCGAACGGGUGAGUAACGCGUAGGUAACCUGCCUGGUAGCGGGGGAUAACUAUUGGAAACGAUAGCUAAUACCGCAUAAUAGUAGAUGUUGCAUGACAUUUGCUUAAAAGGUGCAAUUGCACCACUACCAGAUGGACCUGCGUUGUAUUAGCUAGUUGGUGGGGUAACGGCUCACCAAGGCGAAGAUACAUAGCCGACCUGAGAGGGGGAUCGGCCACACUGGGACUGAGACACGGCCCAGACUCCUACGGGAGGCAGCAGUAGGGAAUCUUCGGCAAUGGACGGAAGUCUGACCGAGCAACGCCGCGUGAGUGAAGAAGGGUUUCGGAUCGUAAAGCUCUGUUGUAAGAGAAGAAAGAUUGUGAGAGUGGAAAGUUCACACUGUGACGGUAUCUUACCAGAAAGGGACGGCUAACUACGUG
rnacentral:rRNA from 1 species